GAUGAAGAACGCAGCGAAAUGCGAUAACUAAUGUGAAUUGCAGAAUUCAGUGAAUCAUCGAGUCUUUGAACGCACAUUGCGCCCCCUGGUAUUCCGGGGGGCAUGCCUGUCCGAGCGUCAUUGCUGCCCUCAAGCACGGCUUGUGUGUUGGGCUCCGUCCCCCCGGGGACGGGCCCGAAAGGCAGCGGCGGCACCGAGUCCGGUCCUCGAGCGUAUGGGGCUUUGUCACCCGCUCUGUAGGCCCGGCCGGCGCCAGCCGACAACCCAUCAUCCUUUUCAGGUUGACCUCGGAUCAGGUAGGGAUACACGCUGAACUUAAGCAUAUCAAUAAGCGGAGGA
rnacentral:misc_RNA from 1 species